ensembl:lncRNA
GGGCAGGCGCACUGAUGGAAGUUGUCCAUUAGAGGUCACUGAAGCUCCGCCAGUGAAGAAGUCUGAGCCCUGUCCUGCUGGGUUGGCUAUCGCUGCUUGCUUUUUUCUGCUGAGCAAAGGCCUCUUGCCCAAACUUCUCUUUCAAAAGCAGCCUCUUAAAGUAUAAACUAGUGCAGGACGCUGCUGCCGUCUCCCUGCCUGUGGCACUGGUGGUCAGGCUUGAGGCCCUUUGUCUCGUCCCCUUCUCCUGACAUCAGCUGGAAGAGACGGAGAUUAAAACAAGGCAUUACAAAAUGGAAAUAAGAGACGAAUUAUUUCCCAUGUAAGUUCUUACAUAACAUCAGUAUAAAGUAGCCACGUUUUUUUCCUUUUAUCAUGUUCAGAUUUAAACGCAGCCUUAAUCCUGUAUAUCCUGCUUCGAAAAGCUUAGAUCUGUAAUGUGUUGUGCAGCAGUCUUUAAAAGGCGUUAUCCAUUAAAAAGUGUGUGGUAGCCUUAAGUUAACAAUGCAGAUUUCAAUCCUUGAUUUUGUACUUGAUAGUUUCGCUUGGAUAAUUUUCUUCAUUUCAGACAAAGUAGAAACAGUGAAGGCUGAUUAAGGAAAAAUGAAGAAAAAAAUAAGAAAGAAAGAAACAACCCAUCAUUUAUUAUCUUAUUAGGUUAAAUAUGAAGUAGUAAUACAGUUUUAUGGGCAAAUUCACAAAAACACUGAACAGUAUAAAAUAAAGCACACCAACAGGCUGCCCAGAGAGGCUGUGGAUGCUCCGUCGCUGGAGGUGUUUGUGAUCAGGUUGGAUGGGGUCCUGGGCAGCCUGGUCGAGUACCAGAUCUGGAGGUUGGUGGCAGGGGGGUCGGAAUUUGGUGAUCCUUGGGGUCCCUUCCAACCCAAGCCAUUCUAUGAUUCUAUGAUCCCAUAAUGGCAAGUUAAAUCCUAUGAAUUUCUCCUGUAUUCAGAAUAUUUAUCAUGCAGGGGGUGGGUGUGACUUGCUCUGGAGGAGGUGGGGUAGGAGAGCAUGGCCCAGCCCAUGCUCAGGUGCUCUGGAUACCAAGGCGCGCUCCUUGCUUCACCCAACAAGGUGCAACAAGUGCACAGAGCAGUAGUUACCAUUUCCCCCCUCCUUCCCUGUUCUCUUUCUGAUGGUCUGUUUCAAGAGAGCAGUGAGCUGGCCCAAAGGGCAAAGCUGAUUUUGAUACUCUGGAUGAGCAGGAGAUGAAGAAAGGCACAGGCAUGCUUAAGGGAAAGAGCAGUAAAAGAGAAAUAUAAUGCCAGAAGUGAGCCUGCCUUUCUGUGCUCUGGGUGGGGGUUUCUGCCAUGCAGUCACGUAAGCACAGUGGGUGUUUGCUUAGACUGAAGGAUCCGUUCGUAUCUUUAUAAUCUCUUCUGGAGCUUGUUAGAACAGUGCCUAGCUUGAGAUGAUGAACGCUUUUCUUGAAUGGAGAAAGUAUGGGGUACAGAAUCUAUAAUUAAAGCAACUAAAGAGAGCCGUAAAGUUACAAAUGAUGAUAAGCUUAAAAAUAAUUAGUGACAAGUACCAAUUUAAUAGAUGUUUAAAAGAUCUUCUUCCUGCUUCAAAGGAGACGUGUUACAAAGAAGAAUGCACAUCUCUGGAACGUGCCACUGCAUAUUCCCUGUACAAAAGUCCAAAAGAAGUGAGGACACGACCUGUUGUGUGGCAGAAGCACUGCGAGAUCAUAAUACGUAGCUGCUGGUGGACAGAAAGAAGGAUGAGUCAGGUGUGCAUUAUUUCCACUCGGAGAGGGCUGUCAUACGGGUGUGCCAC